rnacentral:tRNA from 1 species
GCCCCGGGCGUAGUGCGUCUGCCUUGUAAGCGCUAGGCCGCGGGUUCGAUUCCCGCCCGGGGCG